GACGUAGGGGGCGAGCGUUGUCCGGAUUUAUUGGGCGUAAAGAGCUCGUAGGCGGCUCGUUGCGUCGGCUGUGAAAAACCCGCAGCCACACUGGUCGGCUUGCAGCCGAUACGGGCGGGCUGGAGUUCGGUAGGGGAGACUGGAAUUCCCGGUGUAGCGGUGAAAUGCGCAGAUAUCGGGAGGAACACCGGUGGCGAAGGCGGUUCUCUGGGCCUUACCUGACGCUGAGGAGCGAAAGCGUGGGGAGCGAACAGG
rnacentral:rRNA from 1 species